GAGAAAAGAGAAGAUGAACAAAAAGUUUCGGUUUUGGCCGCCAAAAGGAUAAAAACGAAAGGCCUUGGAGUUUUAAAGACGGCUUCGAGUACUUUUCUUGUCUCCUCUGGUCGAUCUCCGCUCUCAAUCAAUCGACGGAUCUGAAAGUUAAAGAUGUUCUUUUGUAGAGCUUCAAGAAGCAGAAGGACGAAUUAUAGCAUUGUGUGCCCUGGGAUGAAGGAGAUGGUAUAGUGACUCUUGCUAAGCCUUUAUUAUGGGAUGUUUGAGUUGUGAGGAGGCAUGGCCAUUUCGGUUCGGUUAUUUCACCCGGAGAGCAGUUUGAAAAGCAAACAAGUAAGUGGAAAGCAAAGUAGCAUUUGGGAGAACAUUUUAUGCUCCAAUAGAUGCUUUUCUACUAGGCUUGCUUUUGGUGUCCAUGCUUCUUAUUCUGGUGAAGAAGAGACUGAGAAUGGAUAUGUUGGGGAGGAGGGCAUAUGAAGAGUAAACCCUUCAGGUCAUUAGAUGCACCAAGUAAGGCUCCUGCAGCAUCUAUCACUAAUUGCUGAGCAUGGCUAUAUUCCCUCCCCUUGUUGCAAUGUUCCAUUUUGUUGACGAUCAGCGAAUGUUGUAAAAGUAUUUAGUUUUCUUAACUAAAUGAUUUAUCCUGCACUAUUACAUGAUAAAGAAAUCAAUACGAGGCUUGAAGGUCUCUCUUUCACAA